rnacentral:rRNA from 1 species
GAUGAACGCUGGCGGCGUGCCUAAUACAUGCAAGUCGAGCGAACAGAUGAGGAGCUUGCUCCUCUGACGUUAGCGGCGGACGGGUGAGUAACACGUGGAUAACCUACCUAUAAGACUGGGAUAACUUCGGGAAACCGGAGCUAAUACCGGAUAAUAUAUUGAACCGCAUGGUUCAAUAGUGAAAGACGGUUUUGAUGUCACUUAUAGAUGGAUCCGCGCCGCAUUAGCUAGUUGGUAAGGUAACGGCUUACCAAGGCAACGAUGCGUAGCCGACCUGAGAGGGUGAUCGGCCACACUGGAACUGAGACACGGUCCAGACUCCUACGGGAGGCAGCAGUAGGAAAUCUUCCACAAUGGGCGAAAGCCUGACGGAGCAACGCCGCGUGAGUGAUGAAGGUCUUCGGAUCGUAAAACUCUGUUAUUAGGGAAGAACAAAUGUGUAAGUAACUAUGCACGUCUUGACGGUACCUAAUCAGAAAGCCACGGCUAACUACGUG